UACAGAGGUCUCAAGCGUUGUUCGGAUUCAUUGGGCGUAACGGGUGCGUAGGCGGCGCGGUAAGGCGGGUGUGAAAUCUCGGAGCUUAACUCCGAAACUGCAUUCGAUACUGCCGUGCUUGAGGACUGGAGAGGAGACUGGAAUUUACGGUGUAGCGGUGAAAUGCGUAGAUAUCGGAAGGAAGACCAGUGGCGAAGGCGGGUCUCUAGACAGUUCCUGACGCUGAGACACGAAGGUCAGGGGAGCAAACGGG
rnacentral:rRNA from 1 species